rnacentral:tRNA from 1 species
GGCCGAGUGGUCGAAGGCGCUCGCCUGGAAAGUGAGUAUACGGCAAAACCGUAUCGAGGGUUCGAAUCCCUCC